GCGGGAGUGCUGGAAUAGGUAGACAGGCAGGCUUGAGGUGCCUGUGUCCAACCAUAGACGUGUGGGUUCAAGUCCCAUCUCCCGCACCA
rnacentral:tRNA from 1 species